rnacentral:rRNA from 1 species
UCUACGGGAGGCAGCAGUGAGGAAUAUUGGUCAAUGGGCGUAAGCCUGAACCAGCCAAGUAGCGUGAGGGAUGAAGGUUCUAUGGAUCGUACACCUCUUUUAUAAGGGAAUAAAGUGCGGGACGUGUCCCGUUUUGUAUGUACCUUAUGAAUAAGGAUCGGUUACAUCCGUGCCAGCAGCCGCGGGAAUGCGGAGGAUACGUGAGUUAUCCGGGUUUAUUGGGUUUAAAAGGUGCGUAGGCGGCCUUUUAAGUCAGCGGUGAAAGUCUGUGGCUCAACCAUAGAAUUGCCGUUGAUACUGGGAGGCUUGAGUAUGUUUGAGGCAGGCGGAAUGCGUGGUGUAGCGGUGAAAUGCUUAGAUAUCACGCAGAAUCCCGAUUGCGAAGGCAGCCUGCCAAGCCAUGACUGACGCUGAUGCACGAAAGCGUGGGGAUCAAACAGGAUUAGAUACCCUAGUAGUC